rnacentral:lncRNA from 1 species
AGACCAAAUUCUUAUGGUUUUAGACAACACAAAUAUUUCCCCGAAUUGUACCAUCAAAACAUCUUCAAGAAAUAGGAAUGAGGGGUCUAUAGAUGGUUUGAAUUUGUUCAGAAUGCUAACAUACAACAUGACGCAAGAGUUCGAUUUACUGUCUUAGAUCCACCUGAUUAUUUGAAUGUUGAUAUCAUUAAUCAACAUCAAUAAUUGUCUUCUUCAAAAACAAUUAUGUUUGAUGUGUUGUAGUUUAUUAUGAUUUUCAGUUCUAACUCUAUCUAUAUUAAUUAUCUGAAUGAUACUCUGAAGUUAUUGUUUGUUGUAUUGUCUAAAUGAUAUAUUUAAUCGGAUAAUUCAAUCGUUCUCGCCCGUGCGUUGCACGGGUUCCUAACUAGU